AAAAAAAAAAAAAAAAUUAAAAAAAAAAAAAAAAACGAAGCAUCUCAUGCCCAGCUUUGGGAGCAGGUUUCGGGGAUUGGGUAAUCGCAGAUUUGUUUAU
rnacentral:rRNA from 1 species